rnacentral:miRNA from 1 species
CUUGAGACUGGCAGCAUUAGCAAG